GCGUGCAUGCUAUAAAGAAAACUCGCUGGACUUAGCGCAGUCCGAUUUUCAACCAAGACUAUAUGCCCUCAAGCCUGGUGCUGUGCCGACUAUUUACGCCGCCAUGUGUCCUGCCAACACUUAAGUAGGCAUUGGUCCUGCUCCAUUGCCCAAGCGUCCUCGACGACAGUCGUGCUCGGACACGGAGCUUGAGCCUGCUGCCGCCCAUCCCGUGUCGAUCGACCUGAACGCUGACUGCGAGAUAAACGAGGCCGCAAAUGCAUCAGGUCAAGUAAAGCUGGAUGCACAAUCCUAGUGCUUCGUUGAAGUUUAUUCCAAGGCCAUUCAGGCGGGUCUGAAAGCUACAAC